rnacentral:rRNA from 1 species
AUUGAACGCUGGCGGCAUGCCUUACACAUGCAAGUCGAACGGCAGCACGGGAGCUUGCUCCUGGUGGCGAGUGGCGAACGGGUGAGUAAUACAUCGGAACGUACCCUGAAGUGGGGGAUAACGUAGCGAAAGUUACGCUAAUACCGCAUAUUCUGUGAGCAGGAAAGAGGGGGAUCGCAAGACCUCUUGCUUUAGGAGCGGCCGAUGUCGGAUUAGCUAGUUGGUGAGGUAAAGGCUCACCAAGGCGACGAUCCGUAGCGGGUCUGAGAGGAUGAUCCGCCACGCUGGGACUGAGACACGGCCCAGACUCCUACGGGAGGCAGCAGUGGGGAAUUUUGGACAAUGGGCGCAAGCCUGAUCCAGCCAUGCCGCGUGAGUG